rnacentral:rRNA from 1 species
GAUGAACGCUGGCGGCGUGCCUAAUACAUGCAAGUCGAGCGAACAGACGAGGAGCUUGCUCCUCUGACGUUAGCGGCGGACGGGUGAGUAACACGUGGAUAACCUACCUAUAAGACUGGGAUAACUUCGGGAAACCGGAGCUAAUACCGGAUAAUAUAUUGAACCGCAUGGUUCAAUAGUGAAAGACGGUUUUGCUGUCACUUCUAGAUGGAUCCGCGCCGCAUUAGCUAGUUGGUAAGGUAACGGCUUACCAAGGCAACGAUGCGUAGCCGACCUGAGAGGGGGAUCGGCCACACGGGAACUGAGACACGGUCCAGACUCCUACGGGAGGCAGCAGUAGGGAAUCUGCCGCAAUGGGCGAAAGCCUGACGGAGCAACGCCGCGUGAGUGAUGAAGGUCUUCGGAUCGUAAAACUCUGUUAUUAGGGAAGAACAAAUGUGUAAGUAACUAUGCACGUCUUGACGGUACCUAAUCAGAAAGCCACGGCUAACUACGUG